rnacentral:rRNA from 1 species
UACGUAGGGGGCUAGCGUUGUCCGGAAUCAUUGGGCGUAAAGCGCGUGUAGGCGGUCCGGUAAGUCCGCUGUGAAAGUCGAGGGCUCAACCCUCGAAUGCCGGUGGAUACUGUCGGGCUUGAGUACGGGAGAGGCGAGUGGAAUUCCUGGUGUAGCGGUGAAAUGCGCAGAUGUCAGGAGGAACACCGAUUGCGAAGGCAGCUCGCUGGAACGUUACUGACGCUGAGACGCGAAAGCGUGGGGAGCAAACAGG